UACGUAGGGGGCAAGCGUUGUCCGGAAUUACUGGGCGUAAAGGGCUGGUAGGCGGCCAACUAAGUCGGAUGUGAAAUCCCCAGGCUUAACCUGGGAACUGCAUCCGAUACUGGUUGGCUUGAAUCCGGGAGAGGGAUGCAGAAUUCCAGGUGUAGCGGUGAAAUGCGUAGAUAUCUGGAGGAAUACCGGUGGCGAAGGCGGCAUCCUGGACCGGCAUUGACGCUGAACAGCGAAAGCUAGGGGAGCAAACGGG
rnacentral:rRNA from 1 species